ensembl:lncRNA SOX2-OT SOX2 overlapping transcript
GUAAAAGGGGACGCGGAGGAGAAGGAAAGUCGCUCAAGCAGUGGACAGAGCGGAGAAAGCGACUUCGGGUCUGCUGGAGUUUGCUGGAGGUGCACUCCAGACUCUGUUUGCCUGCCUAUCACCAACAGAGGCUGCAGAACAGCAAAGAUUGCUGUCUGUAACUUCCUCUGGAAGCUUCAUCCCAGAGGGGCACCUGCCAGAUGCCAGCCGGAGCUCUCCUCUAUGAGUGAAUGAAGGAGGGAAGAAAGGAGAGACAGAGAAAAUAUGGAUUUCCUCAUGGUUGUGAUUCCUCUUCACUCUUUUGAAUUUGGAAGGAUGGCAUACACAUCUGAAAAAUACCACUACUUCCUUCAUUGGACUGCAAGGUAUUUCUGUUUGGAAAAGUAAUGGAGUCCAGUCAACUUCAUUGAUCGCCAAGGACUGUCAAAAUUAUAAAACUUGCUGUGGAGCUCUGACAUGCCAGAAGCCGCUAGAAAAAGAAGUUUGACAUUCAGAAACUUAUCAAGAGGUUCUACUCUUUGGAUAGAGACCAAAAUCAUACUUUGAAAAAGAAAGCCUGACAGGUUUCUUCGGAAAAGUGGCCAUCCAUGGAAUGAAUGAAAUGUUCUCUUUCUAUUCCACCUCUAGAGACCAUCAAAAAACAAUGGCUCAUAAUGCUUUUAGAACAGAAACUGAAGUUGUAUACUGUGCAUAUGUAAUCCUACACAAGAGGAAGGCAAUGUUUAAAGCUGCUGUCACCUCUUAGGGAAAAAACUGGAAUUCUGAGUCAAAUCCAACUUAGAAAUAAUGUUUCAUUCAAGAUAAGGCUCGUGGCUUAGGAGAUUGUGACCUGGCUUGCAUCAUUCUAAGACUUCUAUCGUCUGUUUUCAAAACCCAAGGAGGACCUCCUUUUCUGUGUGAUAGUUCCUCAUGCUUUGCCAGCCACUGGGUCUUUAAGGAAGCUUGCCAAGAGUUCCCGGCUGGGAAGGACAGUUCGAGUUCAUCAUAGACAAUGAGCUGGCACCACAGUUUAAGUGACUCACCAACCUGGUUGCCCACUUCAAAAUGUCAAGAACCACACUAUCUAAUUGAAAGAACUGUGUUUUAGCAAAGUGUAAUUGGAUCGCCUGGCAAGAUCAUCUCAAACUAUGUCUCUGACCUUGCCUUUCAGUGGCUAUUUUGAGCACAAGAGGAGAAAGGAAAUGAUUCCUGAAUUAUAUCUUGUUUUUAAAAAUUAAGAUUAAUUAAUACUUGGUUUUAUGUUCAUUCCAUUGUAGGAACUUAGUGAUUAUUACAAAACAGUCAAAAUAGGUCAUAGCAAAAUGAACGUUUAAGAUUAGGUUAAAACAUUCCUCUGAAAUUUUAGUAUUCACUUUUGAAGUGUCAAUUACUAUAUUUCUGUAAUUUCUCAUUUUUUUCUUGGCUUAGAGUCAAGAUGAAAAAUGAUAUUUGAAUCAAAGACAUUGUUUUGUUAUAUAGCCACUCCUUUCUAAAAUGCAAAUCCACCCUCCCCUCACCAAUGCUUUAUUCUUUGUGCGCGCACACACACACACACACACACACACACACACACACACACACAGACAUACACAGAACCAGCACCCAAAUGGUAGAGGAGGUCCUUCCAAGACUUCUAGGACCUGGAUCAUGUAAGCAGUAGAUGAGAAAAUGAAGUAAGAGAUAUAGAGUAAUAACAAUAAAAGUCAAUGAUUUCAUUUUACAAAAAAGUCAUUGUGUAGUACUCAGAUAUUUUUAAGAGCAAGUAUUAUUAUGACUAAAGUAUAUUAUACUUCUAAAUUAUUAUGAUUCUCAUCUAAUUUCAAGCCACACAUAGGCGCCAUUUGAAAGCAUUUUGUGUUACAACCUAUCAACAAAAAUCAACUAAUAGUUUUAUAACGUGCAUAGGUUUACCCCAUGGGGAAUUAAAAUUUUUAUCUGCAAGUAUUUCUGUUGUUGUGAGACUUUAGGACAAGACAACAUUUGGUGUUAACAUAGAAGAAU